CUCUCAGGGAAGCUUUUUGCUCGCGUUAUGUUUCUCAUCCGAAUAUAAGACGAACAAAAGGUUUGUCUGAGGGCAGAGUG
ensembl:miRNA MIR208B microRNA 208b